CCUUUUGUAUAAUGGGUCAGCGACUUAUAUUCUGUAGCAAGGUUAACCGAAUAGGGGAGCCGAAGGGAAACCGAGUCUUAACUGGGCGUUAAGUUGCAGGGUAUAGACCCGAAACCCGGUGAUCUAGCCAUGGGCAGGUUGAAGGUUGGGUAACACUAACUGGAGGACCGAACCGACUAAUGUUGAAAAAUUAGCGGAUGACUUGUGGCUGGGGGUGAAAGGCCAAUCAAACCGGGAGAUAGCUGGUUCUCCCCGAAAGCUAUUUAGGUAGCGCCUCGUGAAUUCAUCUCCGGGGGUAGAGCACUGUUUCGGCAAGGGGGUCAUCCCGACUUACCAACCCGAUGCAAACUGCGAAUACCGGAGAAUGUUAUCACGGGAGACACACGGCGGGUGCUAACGUCCGUCGUGAAGAGGGAAACAACCCAGACCGCCAGCUAAGGUCCCAAAGUCAUGGUUAAGUGGGAAACGAUGUGGGAAGGCCCAGACAGCCAGGAUGUUGGCUUAGAAGCAGCCAUCAUUUAAAGAAAGCGUAAUAGCUCACUGGUCGAGUCGGCCUGCGCGGAAGAUGUAACGGGGCUAAACCAUGCACCGAAGCUGCGGCAGCGACGCUGAUGCGUUGUUGGGUAGGGGAGCGUUCUGUAAGCCUGCGAAGGUGUGCUGUGAGGCAUGCUGGAGGUAUCAGAAGUGCGAAUGCUGACAUAAGUAACGAUAAAGCGGGUGAAAAGCCCGCUCGCCGGAAGACCAAGGGUUCCUGUCCAACGUUAAUCGGGGCAGGGUGAGUCGACCCCUAAGGCGAGGCCGAAAGGCGUAGUCGAUGGGAAACAGGUUAAUAUUCCUGUACUUGGUGUUACUGCGAAGGGGG
rnacentral:rRNA from 1 species